rnacentral:rRNA from 1 species
GUGAAGCCAAAGCACAGAGGCGGGCCUCCGUUACAGGCUUGAUUGGGAGGGUCCUCCCUACCUUUAUAGGUUUAACCCUGGCUUAUAAGGCUAAAAGUAGGGUGCGCUACAUGGAUUCUUUAGAGAAGGUAGAAUAGAGUAGAUAUUUUUUAAAAUAAAAUCAAAUCCAAUAGUUAUAUUUGGGCGCAAGGUCAAACCUAAGCCAGCAUUUCACCGGGUAAGUCAGUGCCAGCAUUCGCGGUUAAACUGUAGGUUUGCAGCUUUAGUUAAAAAGGAGGGGAUGUUAUCUGACACUAUAAUAAUAGGUGAAAUUUUUAUUUAAAGGUCUUUUCAAUUUCACCUCUUGAACCUUAAGGGAUACACAAGGAUUAGAUACCCCUCUAUACUAAGGCCGGACCUUUUAAGGUAGUAGUUGUUAGAGUCUUGAAACCUAAAGGGUAUGGCGGUGUUUAAUUUAAUCAGAGGAACCUGCCCUGUAAACGAUAAUCCGCGUUAAAUCUCUCCUACUUUAGGUUUGUAUACCAUCGUCUAAACCCCCUAGAAACGGAAAGGGUUAAAAGUAGAAAUAAGUAAGUCAGAUCUAGGCGCAGCUUGAGUAGGUUGAGGUGGGUUACAAUUUAACUUCCAGUGGAAUGUAGUCUAACAGCUCAUCGAAAUUGGAUUUGAAAGUAAUCCAGGUUUAAUACGCCUGAGUGAGUACAAAUUUAAAUAUGUACAUAUCGCCCGUCACUCUCAUUAAUGAGAUAAGUCGUAACAAAGUAGAUGUACUGGAAAGUGCAUCUUUAGUUUAGCGGGUAAGAAUGAUGCUCUUA